rnacentral:rRNA from 1 species
AGAGUUUGAUCCUGGCUCAGAACGAACGCUGGCGGCAUGCCUAACACAUGCAAGUCGAACGAGACCUUCGGGUCUAGUGGCGCACGGGUGCGUAACGCGUGGGAAUCUGCCCUCUGGUACGGAAUAACUCAGGGAAACUUGAGCUAAUACCGUAUAAUGACUUCGGUCCAAAGAUUUAUCGCCUGAGGAGGAGCCCGCGUCGGAUUAGCUAGUUGGUGAGGUAAAGGCUCACCAAGGCGACGAUCCGUAGCUGGUCUGAGAGGAUGAUCAGCCACACUGGGACUGAGACACGGCCCAGACUCCUACGGGAGGCAGCAGUGGGGAAUAUUGGACAAUGGGGGCAACCCUGAUCCAGCAAUGCCGCGUGUGUGAAGAAGGCCUUCGGGUUGUAAAGCACUUUUAUCGGGAACGAAACAUUGUCGGCUAAUACCCGGCAAGACUGACGGUACCCGAGGAAUAAGCACCGGCUAACUCCGUGCCAGCCGCCGCGGUAAUAC